GGGCGGUUAGCUCAGUUGGUUAGAGCGCAUGCUUGACAUGCAUGAGGUCGGGGGUUCGAGUCCCUCAUCGCCCACCA
rnacentral:tRNA from 1 species